rnacentral:rRNA from 1 species
UACGUAGGGGGCAAGCGUUGUCCGGAUUUAUUGGGCGUAAAGAGCUCGUAGGCGGUUCCGUAAGUCGAGUGUGAAAAAUCUGGGCUCAACCCAGUGGAGCACUCGAUACUGCGGUGACUAGAGUACGGUAGAGGAGUGUGGAAUUCCUGGUGUAGCGGUGAAAUGCGUAGAUAUCAGGAGGAACACCGGUGGCGAAGGCGGCCCUCUGGACGGUGACUGACGCUGAGACGCGAAAGCGUGGGGAGCAGACAGG